rnacentral:rRNA from 1 species
GACGAACGCUGGCGGCGUGCUUAACACAUGCAAGUCGAACGGAAAGGCCCUGCUUUUUUGGGGUGCUCGAUUGGCGAACGGGUGCGUAACACGUGAGUAACCUGCCCUUGACUUUGGUAUAACUUCAGGAAACUGGGGCUAAUACCGUAUAGGAGCUCCUGCUGCAUGGUGGGGGUUGGAAAUUUUCGGCGGUUGGGGAUGGACUCGCGGCUUAUCAGCUUGUUGGUGGGGUAGUGGCUUACCAAGGCUUUGACGGGUAGCCGGCCUGAGAGGGUGACCGGCCACAUUGGGACUGAGAUACGGCCCAGACUGCUACGGGAGGCAGCAGUGGGGAAUAUGGCACAAUGGGCGGAAGCCUGAUGCAGAAACGCCGCGUGCGGGAUGACGGCCUGCGGGGUGUAAACCGCUGUCGCCUGUGACGAAGCGUGAGUGACGGUAAUGGGUAAAGAAGCACCGGCUAACUACGUG